rnacentral:piRNA from 1 species
UCGGAGCUUGAGAUGUCGUCAAUGAUGACAGG